rnacentral:rRNA from 1 species
CCUACGGGGGGCAGCAGUAGGGAAUCUUUCACAAUGGGCGAAAGCCUGAUGGAGCAACGCCGCGUGCAGGAUGAAGGCCCUCGGGUUGUAAACUGCUUUUAUAAGCGAGAAAUAUGACGGUAACUUAUGAAUAAGGAUCGGCUAACUACGUGCCAGCACCCGGGGUGACACGUAGGAUCCGAGCAUUAUCCGGAGUGACUGGGUGUGAAGAGUUGCGUAGGUGGGAUAAUAAGUAGCUAGUGAAAUCUGGUGGCUCAACCAUUCAGACUAUUAGCUAAACUGUUAAGCUCGAGACCGUUAGGGGUAACUGGAAGUUGUGGUGUAGGAGUGAAAUGCGUAGAUAUUAGAAAGAACCCCGAUAGCGUAGGCAGGUUACUGGGACGGUUCUGACACUGAGGCACGAAAGCGUAGGGAGCAAACGGGAUUAGAUACCCCGGUAGUC